AGAGCACCUAUUAUGGGAUACACGUUUUUAAACAUCCUUUUGUGUGUAAGUGUGCAUUAGUACAUGCUAACGAUAUUCAAAAAGUACAUACCUCAAAGAAAACGAUGACGCGAGUUAUCGUCUCUAACGUUCGAGGACUACAAAAAACACUCGGAUUGUAGGCAACAGUUUACUUCCUGGGAUUAGUGACGUAGAUAAGACCAACAUUAUCAUAGUUCAGCCCUCUCUGCUUUGCUUGGGUACGCCCUCAAAGACGAGGGUGGGGUGGGGAGCGCCGAGUCAGAAGAGAGCUAAAAUGGCGGAGGUUGGGAGUCCCUGCUUUGACUCUGUUUGCAAACUCUUGUUUCAUUGUUUAAGCGAUUAAAUCUCUCGAGUAGACGCUGUCUCUUUAGAUGCGAGGGCAAAAUAGCACUUUAUGGACUUCCACAGAGGACAUCAUGUUUAAUACGGUUCCGGAAAAAUCCAGUCAGAAGUUGUUCACGGAGUUUUCACAAUAACUGCUUCUCAUGAACCGAAGCUGGAUUUGCACGACGUCUCCUCUUGAAAGUUGGAUUACUGUGCACUUCUGGAUCACAGACUAUUCCCAGCUGGACACAUCCUUCUACACUGUAUGCAAACAUGCAACAUCAUUACACACAGUACAAGGAGUCAGACUGGCAUAUGAGGAGCAAAGGAACCCAGGCAGUAGCAUCGUUUCACAAUGUUUCCAUCAUCAUCAUCAGUGGAUGCCUUUGCCGUCCGUAGCCUGAGAUUUCAGAUUUGCAGCAAAAAAAAAAUUUUUUCUCAUUUAUUGGAAUGCUGUGCAGGUAUUUGUACCUUGCAGCCAUCCAUUACAAUGUCACCAAGCCGUAACAAAAGCAGGAGAGGGAAAGUACAAGGCUAUGUUCCCAAAACACAAAUGACAUACCUUAUGUGGAGGAUGUGAUCAGGCUUGUGUUUGAUGAGGUAUUUGAAGAUAAGCUGAAGGAAACCCCGAUUCCAAUGGACCUGGCAUCACAGUUUGAGAGACCUUCAAAGGAGGACGUGAUUGCAUGCCAUCUUCAGUGCAGGGGUCGUCGAAAGCCAAAAUUGUGACCGAUCUGAUCAGGAAGCUCCAAGCGUAUCUGGAGAACAACACACGACAGGAUGAUAACCUUAUAGUGUUGUCUUAGAUAGCACCAGCUGACAAAGCUUUGAUAUGCCAUUUAUCUGAAUAGAUAGCUGUAAGAAAUGAAUUGAACAAUUUUUGAAACAAGAGCACAAUAUGGUUACUAAAGUAUGUUUAUUUGUAUAUUGUUUAACAUUUAAAUAUAUAUUUGUAAUAAAUAAAAAAAACUUUUGACUGACUAUUA